rnacentral:rRNA from 1 species
UACAUAGGGUGCAAGCGUUGUCCGGAUUUACUGGGCGUAAAGAGCGUGUAGGCGGUAAGACAAGUCAAAUUUUAAAUACUCUUGGCUUAACCAGAGCUUGGAUUUGAUACUAUCUUGCUAGAGAUUGGGAGAGGAAAGCGGAACUAACAGUGUAGCGGUGAAAUGCGUAGAUAUUGUUAGGAACACCCAUGGCGAAGGCAGCUUUCUGGACCAAUUCUGACGCUGAGACGCGAGAGCGUGGGGAU